rnacentral:rRNA from 1 species
AGAGUUUGAUCCUGGCUCAGGACGAACGCUGGCGGCACGCUUAACACAUGCAAGUCGAACGAGGUCCAUGGAGCUUGCUCCGGAAGACCUAGUGGCGAACGGGCGCGUAACACGUGAGAAACCUGCCCUGAACUUGGGAAUAACAGUUGGAAACGACUGCUAAUACCGAAUACCUUCACGACGUCGCAUGGCGAUGUGAAGAAAGCUUUAUGCGGUUUGGGAGGGUCUCGCGACCUAUCAGCUCGUUGGUGAGGUAACGGCUCACCAAGGCGUCGACGGGUAGCUGGUCUGAGAGGAUGAUCAGCCACACUGGGACUGAGACACGGCCCAGACUCCUACGGGAGGCAGCAGUGGGGAAUAUUGCACAAUGGGCGCAAGCCUGAUGCAGCGAUGCCGCGUGCGGGAUGAAGGCCCUAGGGUUGCAAACCGCUUUCAGUAGGGAAGAAAAUGACGGUACCUACAGAAGAAGGUGCGGCCAACUACGUGCCAGCAGCCGCGGUGACACGUAGGCACCAAGCGUUGUCCGGAUUUAUUGGGCGUAAAGAGCUCGUAGGCGGUUCAGUUAGUCGGGUAUGAAAACUCUGGGCUCAACCCAGAGAGGCUACCCGAUACUGCUGUGACUAGAGUACGGUAGGGGAGUGGGGAAUUCCCGGUGUAGCGGUGAAAUGCGCAGAUAUCAGGAGGAACACCAGUGGCGAAGGCGCCACUCUGGGCCGUAACUGACGCUGAGGAGCGAAAGCAUGGGUAGCAAACAGGAUUAGAUACCCUGGUAGUCCAUGCCGUAAACGUUGGGCACUAGGUGUGGGUCUCAACCAACGAGAUCCGCGCCGUCGCUAACGCAUUAAGUGCCCCGCCUGGGGAGUACGGUCGCAAGACUAAAACUUAAAGGAAUUGAUGG